rnacentral:rRNA from 1 species
UGGCGGACGGGUGAGUAACACGUGAGCAACCUGCCCCUGACUCUGGGAUAACUUCGGGAAACCGGAGCUAAUACUGGAUAUGACGCUCUCACGCAUGUGGGGGUGUGGAAAGUUUUUCGGUUGGGGAUGGGCUCGCGGCCUAUCAGCUUGUUGGUGGGGUGAUGGCCUACCAAGGCGACGACGGGUAGCCGGCCUGAGAGGGCGACCGGCCACACUGGGACUGAGACACGGCCCAGACUCCUACGGGAGGCAGCAGUGGGGAAUAUUGCGCAAUGGGCGAAAGCCUGACGCAGCGACGCCGCGUGAGGGAUGAAGGCCUUCGGGUUGUAAACCUCUUUCAGCGCCGAAGAAGCGAAAGUGACGGUAGGCGCAGAAGAAGCACCGGCUAACUACGUGCCAGCAGCCGCGGUAAU